CACUGACCUUUCAGCCUGCUUCCUUGAGCUUCUGGCAAAGAUAUCUCUAAUGAGACAAAGAGGGGUAUUUUUUCUUUUUUCUUAUUAACCCUUAAUAGGGAACACAUGGGAUGAGCGGCAGCAUUGUAACAAGGCUAUAGGGGUGUAUAGAAAAAAUACCCCUCUUUGUCUCAUUAGAGAUAUAUUUGCCAGAAGCUCAAGGAAGCAGGCUGAAGGGUCAGUGU